AUGAACGCUGACAGAAUGCUUAACACAUGCAAGUCUUUGGCGAAUCUGUGCUUGCACAGGCUAGCCAAGGCGGACGGGUGAGUAACGCGUAAAGAACUUACCCUGCAGACAGGGAUAACAGACGGAAACGACUGAUAACACCUGAUACAGUUGCCGGCACGCAUGUGCCUGGCAAUGAAAAGAGAUGCUGCAGGAGAGCUUUGCGUCCUAUUAGCUUGUUGGUGAGGUGACGGCUCACCAAGGCGAUGAUAGGUAGCCGGCCUGAGAGGGUGAACGGCCACAAGGGGACUGAGAUACGGCCCUUACUCCUACGGGAGGCAGCAGUGGGGAAUAUUGGACAAUGGGGGCAACCCUGAUCCAGCAAUUCUGUGUGCACGAAGAAGGUUUUCGGAUUGUAAAGUGCUUUCAGCAGGGAAGAAGAAAGUGACGGUACCUGCAGAAGAAGCGACGGCUAAAUACGU
rnacentral:rRNA from 1 species